UUUCCAUAACCCGGCAACCCUGUGUGCAAACAACGCGGUUUUUUCCUACUUGCUCUAAAAUAAUUUUUUUGUAAAAUUAAUAUAUCAAAAAAUUUGUACUUAACUGCAACUUAAAGUGCACUUUGUGGCGCAAAUCAGUACAAACGCGGUCUGCUGUCAGCUUGCAGUCCUAUUGGUGUGAAGUGGAGUCUUUCUGCUGAUUUAGCUUUUUACUCGUUCUUCCCGGUGCAUCAUCCUCUUAGUUUGAUCGAUAUUGUAGCGGAGCGGAUUUUGUUACUGAGCCGCCUUUAGACUCCUGACUAAACCAAGUACUGGCUGAGAAGUUUUCUGCUUCCGCAAACUGACAAUAUCAUUUCGAUAAACGAAGCAUCUUCAGUGCGGCAAAUAUACUUUUCCUGUUUUUCCGUCUUCAAAUAUAUCACGGUUUUCCUUUUCAAACGUCAGGUCAAUGCAACGCACUUUGCAGUGUUUCGUCGAAUUAAUAAACGGUUUACUUUUUCCUUAGCUUGUAAGCAUGUACACAUCUUUGUUUAAGAAUCCUCGUUAUUGUCUAAUUAAUAUUGAAGACCAUUUGACCGAGUGUGCUAAGCUGUGGUCAUACCGAGCUUUCGCGAAUGUUUAGAAUUUUAUGAAAUAUUUCAGGACUGUGAAAAUUUUAUAUGUCAACCGCAGUGCAAUUAAUAGUUUUUAUGCAGGAGGAUCUAAAAGUAAAAGUCAACUUGGUAAAUAUCUGCACUAACUAGGUCAAUAGAUCUUUGCACCCCAGGUAGCAAAGACGCCAAGCUUUUGAGUUUUAAAUGGCAUCAACAACUUAUACUCUUUAACAACAUUAAUACUCUAUUGGUCCAAUUCAAAUCGUUAUUAGCAUGCAAAGCUUACGGGUCUUUCAUUAAAAUUUCGGACUUGGCUUGCAAGAACAUUGCCAAAGAAUUGCGACCUAAUAUUAUCCGUAUUAGUUCCAGGUCGAUUAGUCAGAAUGAGUGUUUUUGGUGCAUUCGACGUAUGGCUAAACCUACUCAUGUUUCGCAGCCCAUUAAAUAUACG